AGCUGAGGUGGUCCGUCACACACGGAGUUAGAGAUAAGACGAUGGUGUUUUAACCAAGGUGAAAAUAGUCAUUACAGUGGUAUUAACGUCUUCACUUGGAAGGGUUUUCAAAAUAGUAAAACUUACUUUUCAGUUGGAUCCUGUUUCCCUUCAGAAGAUCUUAAUAUUGUUCCGUGACUGGAGAAAAGUUUCGACCAAUUCAGUAACAUGCAGCGUUGCCAACUCUUCAGUAAGGAGAGACACUACUGGCUGUUGCUAAAUGAUGUCUUCGCCCCCGUAGCAGCUUUGCAGAGCAGUGUGACUACAGCAGAAGGGGCAGAGCUCUGAACCCGUCAAAAAUUCCUCACCGGCAGCGGGUCGACAUAGAGAAUGAGGAAAUGAAGAGCCAUUGACAGACAGAUGGCGCCAACGAGCCACGGGUUUGACCAGGGGGGCAUCUUCAGGAGGGACUGGUUCUCUGACAGACUGGAGUCAAACACAGGUGUCACCACAAACAGAUCCUGAACCGGUGUCUGGAGGAGGAGGAGGAGGAGGAGGAGUGCAGGUACCUGUUCAGGGCGUUACACAUCUCGAUGGUCACCAGCACGGACAGAGCCAUGGUCAUGGGGUAGGGAGACUCGAAGACGGAGCACUGAACGCCAGCGAACUCUGCGUGGCCUUCGCCGCACUGGAGGUAGUGAGACUGAGCGAGAGGGGACAGAGGGAAGGUUUGUCAGCAGCUGCUUUGAAGUGAAUUCAUUUUCAUUCUCGCAUGAUCGUUGACGUGAAACAGUGAAACAAACACCACCACCACGGCAGUUGUCAUGUACCAGCUGAUAGAAGUUGACUUUGGGUCCAUCAUGAGCUGCCAUGAACCACCAGGCGGCAGCGCCGACGGUCGCCGCUCCGACGUAACCUGCAGCGAGAAGAGAGCAGCUCAACCUCGGUGACUGGCUCACUAUGAUGGUGGCUUCACUGACAGCCGAUGAUGAGGUAGCGACAGAAGAGCCAGCCGGAGAUGAGGGGCUCCUUUGGGGAGCGAGGGGGGCGGGACAUGAUGUCCAGGUCCGGGGGGUUGAAGCCCAGUGCGGUUGCAGGGAACCCAUCAGUCACUAGGUUGACCCACAAAAGCUGGACUGGGAUCAGAGCUUCCGGCAUCCCGAGGGCCGCGGUGAGGAAAAUACUGAGGAGGGCGGAAGAGUUAGAAUUAUGACAGAAUUUUUUCCCACCAUGAGGGGAGCUGUCAUGUGACCAGAACUGACCAGACCACUUCUCCUAUGUUGGAGGAAAUGAGGUAUCUGAUGAACUGCUUCAUGUUGUUGUAGAUCGCUCGGCCUUCCUCCACAGCAGCGACGAUGGUGGAGAAGUUAUCGUCGGCGAGGAUCAUCUCCGACGCUGACUUGGCCACCGCCGUGCCGCUCCCCAUGGCGAUCCCAAUCUCUGCCUUCUUCAACGCUGGCGCGUCGUUCACUCCGUCGCCAGUCUGAGCGGAGACGGAUGGACGUGAAACCACAGUGCGUGUGUGUGUGUGUGCGCACGUGUGUGUGUGUGGUGGCGCCCAGCCAGCGUGCUCACCAUGGCGGUGAUGUCGCUCAGGCUCUGCAGGUACUCCACGAUGCGGCUCUUGUGCGCCGGCUCCACCCGGGCGAAGCACCGCGCCGUCUGACACGCCUGCCUCUGCAGGUGAGGCGGCAGCUCGUCGAACUCGCGGCCGGUCAGGCCGCUGUUGAUGCCCGCGCCCUCCUGCUCUUCCUCCUGCUCCGUGAUGAUCCCCACCCGCCGACAGAUGGACAGCGCCGUGCCCUUGUUGUCGCCUGAGGAUCGGCACUUAGCUACACAACCCCAGAAAAGAGAGGAGGCGCCUCACCUGUGAUCAUGAUGACACGGAUGCCGGCCUGGCGGCACAUCCGAACAGCGCCCAGCACCUCUUUCCUGGGCGGAUCCAACAUCCCCACACAGCCCACAAACGUCAAGUCCACCUGCGCGAGGAGGCAACGAUUAUUUUCCAAUACUACCAUGUUGACUUCUGCGCCGUCGUCACCUCGUAGUCGGAAAAGGCGGCUGAGUUUUCCAGGUUGAGGCGGCUGAUGUCCGGGGGCGAGUCUCGUGUGGCCAUGGCCAGGCAGCGCAGCGUGUCCCUGCCUGACCCCCACUCCCGCACAGUGGCCAGCAGCUGCUCCCUGGUGGUGGGGCUCAUGGGCACCCGGGCGGAGCUGCCGACUCGGAUGUAAUUACAGCGCUCCAGCACGCUCUCCGGCGCUCCCUGAGGACAGAGCGGUCAGGAGAGACCCGGCAGAGCAGGGAGGGAAGGGGAAGGUGCGCGGCCGAUCACUGACCUUGACAAACAUCUUGGCUCCGGUGGAGGACCUGGUGAGUUUAUUGGAGGAGCAGAACACAGACAUGGACUUCCUGUCUCUGGAGAACUCCAGUGUGAGCUCCUUCCUCAUUAGCUGUUUGAUCACCUGGAAACAUGACCGUCAGUCAGCAUUCCCACGCGUGUGUUGAAAUCAGGCUUUUAGCUGGGAUUUUAAAACAGGACUGCAAAAACCACACCCAUAACCCGGGCCCCUUUCACAACUGUCACAACCACAACAUUCAUUCAUUCAAACAAUACACAUAUAAAGGUUUGUCGCUUGGUUCAAGCAAUAGAACGACUGGAAUUCUGAUCCCUGUGCAGCUAUUU